rnacentral:rRNA from 1 species
UACGUAGGUGGCUAGCGUUGCUCGGAAUCACUGGGCGUAAAGGGUGCGUAGGCGGGUCUUUAAGUCAGGGGUGAAAUCCUGGAGCUCAACUCCAGAACUGCCUUUGAUACUGAAGAUCUUGAGUUCGGGAGAGGUGAGUGGAACUGCGAGUGUAGAGGUGAAAUUCGUAGAUAUUCGCAAGAACACCAGUGGCGAAGGCGGCUCACUGGCCCGAUACUGACGCUGAGGCACGAAAGCGUGGGGAGCAAACAGG